rnacentral:snRNA from 1 species
AGCCAAGGACAACUUGCC